AACGAACGCUGGCGGCAUGCCUAACACAUGCAAGUCGAACGAGACCUUCGGGUCUAGUGGCGCACGGGUGCGUAACGCGUGGGAACCUGCCCUUAGGUUCGGAAUAACUCCCCGAAAGGGGUGCUAAUACCGGAUAAUGUCUUCGGACCAAAGAUUUAUCGCCUUUGGAUGGGCCCGCGUUGGAUUAGCUAGUUGGUAGGGUAAAAGCCUACCAAGGCGACGAUCCAUAGCUGGUCUGAGAGGAUGAUCAGCCACACUGGGACUGAGACACGGCCCAGACUCCUACGGGAGGCAGCAGUGGGGAAUAUAGGAAAAUGGGCGAAAGCCUGAUCCAGCAAUGCCGCGUGAGUGAUGAAGGCCUUAGGGUUGUAAAGCUCUUUUACCCGGGAUGAUAAUGACAGUACCGGGAGAAUAAGCUCCGGCUAACUCCGUG
rnacentral:rRNA from 1 species